UACGGAGGGUGCAAGCGUUAUCCGGAUUUACUGGGUUUAAAGGGUGCGUAGGUGGGCGAGUAAGUCAGUGGUGAAAUCUCCGGGCUUAACUGGGAGGGUGGCAUUGAUACUGCGGGGCUAGAGUACAGAUGAGGUAGGCGGAAUUGACGGUGUAGCGGUGAAAUGCUUAGAUAUCGUCAAGAACACCUAUAGCGAAGGCAGCUUACUAGGCUGUAACUGACGCUGAGGCACGAAAGUGUGGGGAUCAAACAGG
rnacentral:rRNA from 1 species